UACGGGGGGGCAAGCGUUGUUCGGAAUUACUGGGCGUAAAGGGUUCGUAGGUGGCCAACUAAGUCAGACGUGAAAUCCCUCAGCUCAACUGGGGAACUGCGUCUGAUACUGGUCGCUUGAGUGCAGGAGAGGAACGCGGAAUUCCAGGUGUAGCGGUGAAAUGCGUAGAUAUCUGGAGGAACACCGGUGGCGAAGGCGGCGUUCUGGACUGCAACUGACACUGAGGAACGAAGCCAGGGAGCAAACGGG
rnacentral:rRNA from 1 species